rnacentral:lncRNA from 1 species
GUGGGGCCAAGUUAGCCCGAGCGGUCUGUGAGGUGAGAAGGGCCGGGGUCUCUCCUCCUCUCCUCCGCACCCCACCCCGCCUUGCUCUGAAUCUCUCCCUCUCUCUGUCUCUGUUGGUCUCUUUCCCUCUCUACUCCCCAUUCUGGUGUCUUUGGAGCCCUGGGUAAGGUGUGUGCUGAGUCCGGUCUGGUUUGGGGUAGAUGUUCUUUGAUCUGUUACCACACCUGGAGGGAAAGCCCCUGGCCCGCCCCCCCUCCGUUCCUGCAGAGCCAGGCCCCCCAACCAGUCGGUGGGCAGGAUGCCCACCAGUUGCCCCCAUCUGGCCCAGGGGGACCUUUCCUCUGCUCUCCAGGGACCACUGCAGGUGGUGUGGCCCCUGAGGGGAGCAUAAGGGUGCAGUGCCUGACUCAGGGGACACAGAAGCCCCGUCCAUACGGCCUUUUACACAGCACAGCACCCAGCCCUCGGCAGCCCAGAGCAGGAACCAACAGGGUGCAGACACCCCCACCCAGAGGUUGCAGCUCGGAUGGAGAAACAGGCUGGGUCACAAAAGCCCCGGGAGGCAGCCCCUGCUGUCUGGCGUCUUCUCUGGGGAAAGCUUUCCGGAGCCUGAUGGAGGAAGACAGAGGAAAGAGACCUGUGUUCCCUGAUGCACUGGCCAGCCGCUUCCCGGGGAGGAGGAGGCAGAAAUACACAGUAACUGAUUGUUGCCUUUGGUCUGUGAACUGUACUAUGGAACACUGGAACUUACUCCUUCACCUGACUGCAUGUUUGUGCCCCAUAACCAGCCUCACUUUCUGUCUGCCUCUCACCCACACACCCUGCCUAGCCUCUGGGAACCACCAGCCAACUCUCUGCCUCUGUAAGAGCCACUCUUUCAGUGCCCACAAAUGAGUGAGAACAUGGUACAUUUGUCUUUCUACCCCGGCUUACUUCCCUUAACAUGACAGCCUUCAAUUCCAUCCAUGUUGUUGUAAACGACAUGAUUUCAUUCUU